rnacentral:rRNA from 1 species
UACGUAGGGGGCAAGCGUUGUCCGGAAUCAUUGGGCGUAAAGAGCGUGUAGGUGGCUCGGUAAGUCCGCUGUGAAAGUCCAGGGCUCAACCCUGGAAAGCCGGUGGAAACUGUCGAGCUCGAGUCCGGAAGAGGCAAGUGGAAUUCCUGGUGUAGCGGUGAAAUGCGCAGAUAUCAGGAAGAACACCCGUGGCGAAGGCGGCUCUCUGGGACGGUACUGACGCUGAGACGCGAAAGCGUGGGGAGCGAACAGG